rnacentral:rRNA from 1 species
CGUAGGGUGUGAGCGUUGUCCGGAAUUAUUGGGCGUAAAGAGCUCGUAGGCGGUUUGUCGCCUCGGCCGUGAAAACUUGGGGCUUAACUCCAAGCUUGCGGUCGAUACGGGCAGACUUGAGUUCGGCAGGGGAGACUGGAAUUCCUGGUGUAGCGGUGAAAUGCGCAGAUAUCAGGAGGAACACCGGUGGCGAAGGCGGGUCUCUGGGCCGACACUGACGCUGAGGAGCGAAAGCGUGGGGAGCGAACAGGAUUAGAUACCCUGGUAGUCCACGCCGUAAACGGUGGGUGCUAGGUGUGGGGGGCUUCCACGCCCUCUGUGCCGCAGCUAACGCAUUAAGCACCCCGCCUGGGGAGUACGGCCGCAAGGCUA